UUUCCUUCAGCAGUUACAGUUCCUAAAGGUUCCAUAACCUUCCCAAAGAGUAGCACCAGGCUGGGGACCAAGUGUCCCAACAGAGGAACUUAUGGGGGCAACCUCUCAUUCAAAUUACCCGACUUUACUGAGUCCUUCAAGACAUACCUUCUGUUUCCACUCUGGCUCUGCAAUCUCCUCGGUGCCUUCUUACUGACAGUCGAUUUGUGAGCUGCGCACAAUUUAGUCUUGAAGACAGCUGACAGGAAUGCCGAUGUUCCGUAAUCAGAGGCCUGAGUGGAGUGUGCAGCCAGCCUCGUCCAGGUGCCUCGCCUCUGGAGAAACUGCGUUGGGUGACUCUGUCUCUCUGUAUCUUCCCGCACCGGUCAAUGAACUCCUUAAUUUUUUUUUAGUGUGUAAGAUACUUUGUGAGGAGUACUCACCCAAGCUGUGUGCCUAGUCAGCACCAAAGCAUGUGGCGGAGCAGUAAAACCUCGAUCGUUCAACAGUUGUUGGCAUGACAGUGGUUAACCUUGUGUUCAAGUGACUUUAAGAGUCCACAAAUUUAUAUUGAAAACAGGGACAGUGAUUAUAGGCAGACACUGAUGAUAACACCAACUUUAUCCUUGUCUCAGAGUGGAUGUUCACUUUUUUUUUUGAAGCUGUAAUUUUAUUUUAUUUUCUUCAUUGUCCUAUCUUAUGCUAUGAAUACUUUGCCUGCAUGUAUGAAUGUGCACCACCCGGAUGCCUGGUACCCACUGAUGUCACAAGGGGCUCUCAGAUCUCCUGGAACUGGAGUUACUGAUGCUUGUGAGCUGCCAUGACUCGUGGAUGCUGGGAAUUGAGUCUGGGUCCUUUGAAAGUACAGGUCCCUGCCCUCAACUGCUGAGUCAUCUCUUCUGCGCCCAGCAGUCUGUUUUUGAAGGCGUCUGAUGUGGCUACCGGAAGCUCCUGCUUGUUCACUCGAAGUCCAGCCCUGGUCUUUAAAAGUGGCUGUGAGAAAAAUAUUGAGUUUUAAUAUUAGACAUAGCCUUCUGGAUUGUUGCAUAGUGUAUGGUCCUGACAUCGGAUCCGCUGCAUCAACUAUGGUGUAGGGGUAAGGACUGUAUAGACAGGUGGAUGCCCAGAACUCUCUGGCCUGUCAGUGAGCCAGGUUCAGUGAGAGACUCUGUCUUGAAAAUUAAGGUGUAGAGCAAACACGUGUGCUCACAAAGGCUUUUAAAAUUUUUGCCCCCCCUUUUUUCUUUACAGUAUGUAUGAAUGUGCUUUGUGUUCUACAUCCUUGGAAAGUAGUGGCAUUAUAAACCAAAAUUCCACGUCUACUAGGGACGAGUACUCAUUUAUUUUUCUUCUAGUAACAGAACGUGGCAGUCGAAAAAAGCCUAGCCACACUGUCUUUGACCCGGCUCUGGGAGGGCCACAUUGACAGUUUUAUUUACUUCUGUGUACCCAAUUGCUAGCACAGCAUGAAGAAAGCCAAACUCCAAGAGGUCACACUAUUGAGAGACCAGGCUACUUUGUCUAAGCUUCAUGUCAUAUUCCAAGGAGUAAGAACAUUUCCAGAAGUUUUCUAAAUAAAUUUGUUUAGACAUAAGGAGUCUAAACAAAUAGUUGGUAGAUAAAUUAAUUGUUCUGGUAGGAGUUUUUCUUUUGUUUUUUGUUUUUUUUUCCCAAACUUUUUCUACACAGCUGGGGAGUUCUACCCGACAUCUCUCUCUUUCAGAUUUUUUUCCCCCAGAUUUUUAAGCAACCCUGACUGAUGAGUAUCCUCCUUAUAGUUAGGGCACUAACUUGCCUUUCAAAAUAAAGAGGCUUGAGCGAACGCUCAGUGGUCAAGAACACUUACUGAUCUUUGCCCAUGCUGGGAAGCUAGCACCUAAAGCUUACCCACCUGUAGUUCCAGCUCCAGAGGAUCUGAUACCCUCUUUUGACCCUUGAAGACACCUGCACACAACCCUACCAGAUAUGCACACACGUUCACAUAAGUGCAAAUCAAUGACAUUUUAAAUGUUAAGGCUAUUUACUUUGUAGAAGGUCCACAGUAGCAUCUCUUCUUAGGCAGGAUAUUCCCACUCUAUAAAACACGAUGAAUACAAAGUAUUUUUCACUGUCCUUGUAUUUGGAGAAUGCAAUAAAAUAGUCCACUGUCAUCUGUGCUUCCAUUUUCUAUGGUUUCAGCUACAGCACAGCCAACAGUGAGCUAAAAUAGGCAAUGGAAAAUUCCAGAAAUAAAUAAUUCAUAUUUAUUAUAG
rnacentral:lncRNA from 1 species